ACUCCUGCGGGAGGCAGCAGUGGGGAAUAUUGGACAAUGGGCGCAAGCCUGAUCCAGCCAUGCCGCGUGAGUGAUGAAGGCCCUAGGGUUGUAAAGCUCUUUCACCGGUGAAGAUAAUGACGGUAACCGGAGAAGAAGCCCCGGCUAACUUCGUGCCAGCAGCCGCGGUAAUACGAAGGGGGCUAGCGUUGUUCGGAUUUACUGGGCGUAAAGCGCACGUAGGCGGACUAUUAAGUCAGGGGUGAAAUCCCGGGGCUCAACCCCGGAACUGCCUUUGAUACUGGUAGUCUUGAGUUCGAGAGAGGUGAGUGGAAUUCCGAGUGUAGAGGUGAAAUUCGUAGAUAUUCGGAGGAACACCAGUGGCGAAGGCGGCUCACUGGCUCGAUACUGACGCUGAGGUGCGAAAGCGUGGGGAGCAAACAGGAUUAGAAACCCUAGUAGUCCCAUGA
rnacentral:rRNA from 1 species